rnacentral:lncRNA from 1 species
AUGGAGGAGGAGGAGGAGGAGGAAGACGUCGUCGGGCCGGACGGUCAGCCCGGGUACCACCACGCGGUGGCCCUGGCCCACGGCCUCGUGGAGCUGCGUCACCACGCCUUCGUCACCGCCCGUCAGACCAGAGGCAUCAUCGCUCUCUGGGAGAGGCUGACGGAGCGGGACAAGGCGCCGGUGACCUUCACCCCCCGCCACCAGGACCGGCUGGCUAAAGGGCAGUUCAAGACCAGCAACCGCCACGCCCACAUCCCGGGAGUGGACAGUGUGAAGCGUGUCGUCGUGGGUAAGGGUGCGGGAGCGGCACAGUACCCAAGCCUCAGCAGGGUCGUCGAGGCCAUCAUGUUGGAGCUGUGCCGCGUCCACAGCGGCGACGCCAAGACCAUCGCCGGGGCACGCCUCAACCGCUGGGGUGCCGUCAUGAGGGAUUACAAAUUGAUCCAGGACAACGUGGUCAACUGUCCUGCCCUCAUGGCGAGCACCCGCAUCAUGCUGUUUGACGUGAACCAGCGGACCCUGUCCAUGUGGCAAAACACCAGGGAAAAAAAUAAGAUGAGGGACACCCUCUCCCUCGCAGUCCCGGGGCCCAGCGCUCCCCAGACUGCAGCGGAGCCCCUGUCGGCCCCACGGACUCUGCUGCAGCAGCCCCAGCAGCCAGACCAGCCCCUCCAGCACCACCUGCCCGCGGAUGCCUCUGGUCUGGCGGCAACGAUCAGAGGGCCGCUGGCCCCGGAGCUCUACGACCUUGUGGUGAAGCAGCAGAGUGCCGCCGCCGCCACCCCCCCGGACCUCAGCC